UACGUAGGGUGCGAGCGUUAAUCGGAAUUACUGGGCGUAAAGGGUGCGCAGGCGGUUCUGCAAGUCAGGCGUGAAAGCCCCGGGCUUAACCUGGGAAUGGCGCUUGAAACUACAGGACUGGAGUAUGGCAGAGGGAGGUGGAAUUCCACGUGUAGCGGUGAAAUGCGUUGAUAUCGGAAGGAACGCCGGUGGCGAAAGCGCGCUGCUGGACCUCUUCUGACGCUGAGGCGCGAAAGCGUGGGGAGCAAACGGG
rnacentral:rRNA from 1 species